ensembl:snoRNA
AUCCUUUUGUGAUUUGUAAACUUGAUGAUUAGGAUUUUAUGCUUAGGCGUGAGAUGUGCCUCCCUCAUAUCUUGUUAUGACAUUUGUACAUUACCCAUCUGAUU